rnacentral:rRNA from 1 species
AAGGGAUCGGUGGGGGCUCGAUCUCAUUACAGGGAUGCCGGCGACGCGGCGACACAAGUGGUCCACGAUGGGAUCCAGUGUUCGCUGGUCUUCCCAGUGGAUCGAGCUGAGGCGCUCAAGGCGAUCCAGUGGCGCGCGGCCUUCUCAGUGGAUCCAGCCGAGGCGCUCAAGGUGAUCGAGCGGCGCGCUGCCUUCUCAGUGGAUCCAGCCAAGGCGCGCCAGGGAAUCAUCCUAGGGUUUGGAGUUGGUGACCGAGGAGGAGGCGGCACCGGCGAUGGUGCGCAAGCCGUGCACGAGGCCACAGCGACUCCACAAAGUCUGCUUUGCUCUCCCCGACCCUCGGUGGCGUGCUCUCCGAUCUCCACUCCCUCCUUCUCUCCAUGCUCGCCGCAUCGCUGCCCUCCCCAUCACCAUGGCGACGAUGUUCUAAAGACUCGAUGUCAUUGACCCUCAUCAAGGCAUCUAACAUGGAGCGACCUGUUAAUGUCGUCGACACAUAUUUUCUAUUUGAUCAU